rnacentral:rRNA from 1 species
UGGGGAAUAUUGCGCAAUGGGGGGAACCCUGACGCAGCAACGCCGCGUGGAGGAAGAAGGUCUUCGGAUUGUAAACUCCUUUGAUGAGGGACGAAGUAAGUGACGGUACCUCAGGAACAAGCCACGGCUAACUACGUGCCAGCAGCCGCGGUAAUACGUAGGUGGCGCGCGUUGUCCGGAAUUACUGGGUGUAAAGGGCGUGUAGGCGGGUUAGCAAGUCAGAUGUGGAAUACCGGGGCUCCACUCCGG